CAAGUUUCUGCAUAAAUCUAAAUGGCUCAUUAGUAAUUAAAGUAUACCCUAAUUGCUCUGAGGCCAUCCAACUGGAAUAAACCCUGGCAGCCUUGUUCACUUGCUGUGGGAAAGAAUCAGCUCCACCCCAGUGAGAGGGAAAUCAAAAAAACCCGUGAGGAGGCCUUUGCCUAGUAGCACAAUGUGUUCACUCCUGCACAUCCACCAAAGCAGGCCCCUGGGUCAUCCAACAAGCCAUUCUUGCUCAAAGAAGUGGAGAUGUGAAAUGGGUACAGAUAACCACAGCCAUGAUGCAUUGUGCAAGUGAAUAAAAAGUAAAACAUUUCUUUAACUUGAGUCAUGGCUUUCGACUUUCAACUUUAUGCAGGAAGAACUAGCAAUGGCUAGAGAAUGAAUUUGAAAGACUAAACAUGUGCCAUUGGAUUUAUAAAAUAAUCUCAUACACAACAUCACAACUUUGCCCAGGGAUACGAUGUGAUUCCUUAUGGCACUUCACUGCUGAUGAUUCAUGUGUCUUGUAUGUACACUGGGAGUGGAUUGCUGGGAAGAGUAUGGGCUGCGCUCCUCUCUCUCCUAAUGCAUGUGUGGAUAACACCCUUACCAGAAUCAGAAGGGGAGGGCCAUGACUUGCCCUAUGUGUGAGCAGACAUGAGACCCAGGAGGUUUGACAAAGGCAGUGUGACGUCUUCAACAGCAUCUCAUAAAACUCAGAGAUGUGCAGCAACAAACUCAGUUCCAAAUUCCAUGGUCACCAGUACCUGGGUGUUCAUCUUGUCACCACUCCUCAGGAUUUCAUCAUUAAACUUGCCCAGAUAAUUACCCUUGGAUGAGGUCAAGGUUCUGAUUCUUACUCAAGAAAACAAAAUAUCACUGACAGCUUUGCCCAGCUGUAUGUUUUAGCAUUUCCAGAUGUUUGAAUCAAAAAAAUACUGGCAACAAUGUGCUGUCCAAACAGAAAGGAAAUGAAAUGUGCAGACUGUUUUCUAAACAUUUCAAAGACCCUGGAAAUCUAGCCAGCACCAAAAUCAAUAUUUGUAUUUUAGUCUCUGCUUAAUUUGAACUAUUAGAGCCUGCAUCAAAGAUAAAAGCCAUCUGAAGUUGAAUUUGUUUUUUUUGCCAUUAUUAUUUUUGUCCAUAUUACUUUUUUCCUAAAACACUUUGGCGGAAGCAGAUAUUUGAUUUAAAUGUUUUAUGUUCAAAAGCAAUAUUGUUUUUUUUGUUUAAAACUGGGAAUGUAUAUUGAAAGUUCUGUACAUAAUACAUCAUCUUAUUGUGUAUGGUUUAAUAGUCUUUUAAUUUUUUUAAUGUAAUGAACCUAAAUCAAAGACAAUUGGUACAAAUUUGUACUAAUUUGGUACAUAUAUUUGUGUGAAUGUAUAUCCUUGAAUAACAAAAUGAAGCUAUAAUGCUUAGCAAAAUGCUAUAAUAGACAUGCUUUGACUUUUUUGACCUCAUUAAAAAUGACAGUAAGAAAUAAUAAGUUAUAUUAUGCAAUCAUAACAGUAGUCCAUGUUAAUUUAUAACUUGGCUCUCUGAUUAUUUCACCCAACCAGAAUGUAAGAGAAAGUGAGAAAUUAAGGGGAAAUAAGUGGCCACUGUGUAGACUAAAUAGACAUAUCAAAAGUCAAAACACAUGUGCUUUUAGGGAUCAUUUUGGGAUUUCACUCAGAGCUGAUUUACUCUUAAUUUAUGUGUAAUCCUAACCAAUUUGCUUUCAAACACAUGGUGGAAGAGAAAGAAUCUUAGUGGGAGUUAGAAAUAGUUAUUUUUAUAAAUAUAAAUAAAAACAAAAUUUUUAUUACGAAAGAAGUGACC
rnacentral:lncRNA from 13 species